rnacentral:snRNA from 1 species
GCUUGCUUCAGCUGCACAUAUGCAAACACUGGAACGAUGCAGAGAUUAGCAUGGCCCCUGGGCAAGGAUGACAC